rnacentral:rRNA from 1 species
UCUGGUGAUGAUGACGAAGAGGUCACACCCGUUCCCAUGCCGAACACGGAAGUUAAGCUCUUCAGCGCCGAUGGUAGUCGGGGGUUUCCCCCUGUGAGAGUAGGACAUCGCCAGGC